CCUACGGGGGGCUGCAGUAGGGAAUAUUGCUCAAUGGGGGAAACCCUGAAGCAGCAACGCCGCGUGGAGGAUGAAGGUUUUCGGAUUGUAAACUCCUUUUGUUAGAGAAGAUAAUGACGGUAUCUAACGAAUAAGCACCGGCUAACUCCGUGCCAGCAGCCGCGGUAAUACGGAGGGUGCAAGCGUUACUCGGAAUCACUGUGCGGAAAGAGCGCGUAGGCGGGAUAGCAAGUCAGAUGUGAAAUCCUAUGGCUUAACCAUAGAACUGCAUUUGAAACUGUUAAUCUAGAGUAUGGGAGAGGUAGGUGGAAUUCUUGGUGUAGGGGUAAAAUCCGUAGAGAUCAAGAGGAAUACUCAUUGCGAAGGCGACCUGCUAGAACAUAACUGACGCUGAUGCGCGAAAGCGUGGGGAGCAAACAGGAUUAGAUACCCGAGUAGUC
rnacentral:rRNA from 1 species